UGGGGAAUUUUGGACAAUGGGCGAAAGCCUGAUCCAGCAAUGCCGCGUGUGUGAAGAAGGCCUUCGGGUUGUAAAGCACUUUUGUCCGGAAAGAAAUCCUUGGCUCUAAUACAGUCGGGGGAUGACGGUACCGGAAGAAUAAGCACCGGCUAACUACGUGCCAGCAGCCGCGGUAAUACGUAGGGUGCAAGCGUUAAUCGGAAUUACUGGGCGUAAAGCGUGCGCAGGCGGUUUGCUAAGACCGAUGUGAAAUCCCCGGGCUCAACCUGGGAACUGCAUUGGUGACUGGCAGGCUAGAGUAUGGCAGAGGGGGGUAGAAUUCCACGUGUAGCAGUGAAAUGCGUAGAGAUGUGGAGGAAUACCGAUGGCGAAGGCAGCCCCCUGGGCCAAUACUGACGCUCAUGCACGAAAGCGUGGGGAGCAAACAGGAUUAGAUACCCUGGUAGUCCACGCCCUAAACGAUGUCAACUAGUUGUUGGGAUUCAUUUCCUAGUAACGUAGCUAACGCGUGAAGUUGACCGCCUGGGGAGUACGGUCGCAAGAUUAAAACUUAAAUGAAUUGACGGGGUC
rnacentral:rRNA from 1 species